rnacentral:tRNA from 1 species
GAGGUAUUAGUAAAACAUUACAUGACUUUGUCAAAGUUAAAUUAUAGGCGAAACCCC